GAUUGCAGGCUGCAACUCGCCUGUAUGAAGUUGGAAUCGCUAGUAAUCGCGGAUCAGCAUGCCGCGGUGAAUACGUUCCCGGGCCUUGUACACACCGCCCGUCACACCAUGAGAGUCGGGAACACCCGAAGUCCGUAGCCUAACCGCAAGGGGGCGCGGCCGAAGGUGGGUUCGAUAAUUGGGGUGAAGUCGUAACAAGGUAAC
rnacentral:rRNA from 1 species